AUUGAACGCUGGCGGCAGGCCUAACACAUGCAAGUCGAACGGUAGCACAGAGAGCUUGCUCUCGGGUGACGAGUGGCGGACGGGUGAGUAAUGUCUGGGAAACUGCCCGAUGGAGGGGGAUAACUACUGGAAACGGUAGCUAAUACCGCAUAACGUCGCAAGACCAAAGUGGGGGACCUUCGGGCCUCACACCAUCGGAUGUGCCCAGAUGGGAUUAGCUAGUAGGUGGGGUAAUGGCUCACCUAGGCGACGAUCCCUAGCUGGUCUGAGAGGAUGACCAGCCACACUGGAACUGAGACAAGGUCCAGACUCCUACGGGAGGCAGCAGUGGGGAAUAGUGCACAAUGGGCGCAAGCCUGAUGCAGCCAUGCCGCGUGUAUGAAGAAGGCCUUCGGGUUGUAAAGUACUUUCAGCGGGGAGGAAGGCGGUGGAGUUAAUAACUUCACCGAUUGACGUUACCCGCAGAAGAAGCACCGGCUAACUCCGUGCCAGCCGCCGCAGUAA
rnacentral:rRNA from 1 species